rnacentral:lncRNA from 1 species
UUAGCUCACAAUUAUACAGCAAAGUCUCCUGGGAGGGUUUAUAUGUUAAGCUCUGUCAGUAAUUUCUCCCCUAGCAAGAAUGAGGAAGAUGAAGAGCUCGGGUAUCUGAGGGCUGGUGUGUCUGCAUGCGUGUGUGUUUUGGGGGCCGACUGAAGGAAGAGAAGGCUGGAGAGAGGGAACAUGGGUCUGAGGGCACAUCGCUAAGGGGUCAAGAGGCCUAAAGGAGGAGUCUAAGGCUCUCCAUCGAACUUGGACUUGGUCUACAUUAGACUUUAACCUCCAUGAGGCUUGGACUUUCAGGCUUCCUCCCUCACACCGCGGGCAGGUGAGGCGUCUGCUACAGGCCUGGUCUCGCAGAGGGGGCCCAGCGCCCCCCGCCGCCGCCUUCUCCUGGAGUCUGUGUGACAGAAUGGGACCUGUGGGAAAGCAGCACGUCAGCACCCAGCCCCGCUUGCGCGCCAGCAGCUAAUUAAAGCCAGGAAGGUGAUGGCGAUUUUCAACUCAUUCCCGUUACAAACAGCCGACCUUCCUACCGAGUUCAAGUACCUUCUGCCUGGCCUGGAAGAACAAUAUCUCUCUGUCUCCCUCUUCCACUGGCCCUCACCUGCCUUCCCCUGAACAUGCAUUUUGCCUGACAGGAGACAGAGGCAGUUGAUGCUUGCAGCUUGGUCCAGGAGGCCAGCAGGACCAGAGAGAAGACCACAGCGACACAUGGGGAUGGCUGUCCCACAGGCAGAAAUGAGCAGCCGGGAGGAAGCCCAGGCAGCCAGCCACCCAGCUCCCUCCACAUCGUGGCCCUAGAACGGAGUCUUGAAGAAUAAGAAGCCACAGCUUGUCAGGGAAUCAGGCUGGAAAAAUGUUAUGAGACUGAGUAAGACCAGAGUUUCUGGGUCAUUGGUGAGACUGGAUUUCAUAGAAGAGUCUUUGCUACAGCAAAACCUCUCUUCAAGCAAUACACUAUUCAAGCUGCUGGAGGCUAGAUUGACCAGAAAAAUGGGGCCAAUAUCAUGAUUCCUCAGCAGUGCCUGGAGAAGACCAGGAGAGGAAGCAGAAGACCCUCCUCAAAGAAGCAGCCUUCACCUCCAGACCUCCCAGCGGGACUUAGACAAUGGGGUUAGGCAGUCACAUGUCUGCACGUGGAAACUUUCUGGGACUGUGCUUGGAUCCUGGCUCUGCCUUUUACUAGCCAUGUGACCUUGGGAAAAUCACUUGACUUCUCCGUGCAGGAUUCCUCAUCUGUAAAAAUGGUCUAAGAUUAGGAGCCACCUCAAGGUUGUUGUAGGAAUUAAAUUAAUUCAUGUUUAUAAAGUGCUUUGAACAGCGUUUGGCACAUGGUAAGUGCUAUGUGGUAAGUGCUGUCUAUUGAUUACAUAAAUAAAAGUGAUCACCAUUAGACUUUCCAUGCAGAUGAUAUUAUGCAUAUACAUAUCUCCCGCAUAUGACGUCAUUGGAUCGUUUUGCAAUGGUGGGGGGUUUAUUCUUUUCCUUUUUGUUUUCUUCUUUUUUUUGUCAGAUGAAGAAACUGAUGGGAAGUGAAUUGGUUUGUAUUAAACAUUAGGUUUGCUAGGUCUCUCACAUAUUUAUUUAGUCCUCAUAACAAUUGUAUAAAAUAAAUAUUAUUUAUUCAUUUAUUUAUUUGUAAAGAUGGGUCUCGCUAUGUUGCCCAGGCUGGUCUUGAACUCCCGGGCUCAAGUGAUCCUCCUGCCUUGGACUUCCAAAAUAUUGGGAUUAAAGGUAUGCGCUACUGCACCCGGCCUAAAAGAAAUACUAUUAUCCCCAUUUUACAGAUUUGUAAACAGAAGCUGACACUUCAGAGUUCCAUCCUAAUGAAAGUAGGAUGUGACAGGGGAGCAAAUCUGCUUUGCCCCUGCCCAAGGGCUGGCAGCUCCUCCUCCUGGGGUGCAUGGUGAGUGGGUACACCACUCAUCUGUAUGUACCCGGCAGAAGCUGUCAAUUCAGUUCACGUCACUCAAGUUGAAUGGAUGUAAAACACACACAGAAGCACCAAGUAAUUGCAUUGUUUUCAAAUUACUCACCUCUAGGAGAAUUAAAUGAGCAAACGGAAGAGCAGCAACCCUGAGUUACAUUUCUCAAGACACCGGGGCUCUUGAUGGCACAGCAGCAGCUUGCUAGAGCUUGGUAAAGAGACUUGGGCCUGGUACCUGAAGGGCAAUUCCUUGGCCAUGACAUUGUAGGGAAAGACCUCUAUGGGUGUUGAAAAGACAAGGCGAGGACAAGAAGAGUUGAAAAGGAGCUGUUCUGAAGCCACCUGGCUGUGGAUGGAGGAAGCCACAUGUAGCUUAGGUAGCCUGCUAUUGUAAUUUUUUCUGCAACUGAAGAAUUCGAAAUGGGUUUGGUGGGUAGCGAAGGGCAGAAUCUGGCUUCAAGGUGACAGAGUUUGCAUAGAGAUGGCCUUCUUGAGCAAAGGUAGUGACUCCUACAUUUUUUUUUUUUGUAGAGUUGUGAUACCCAUGAGUUAGUCAGCUUGGGCUAUCAUAACAAAAUACCACACAUUGGUUGGCUUAAACAACAGAAAUUCAUUUUCCUGUAAUUCUGGAGGCUGGAAGUCCAAGAUCAAGGUGACGACAGAGUUGGGUUUCCUCUGAAGCCUCUCUCCUUGGUUUUCAGAUGGGUGUCCUCUUGCUGUCUCUUCAUGUGACUGUCCCUCUGCAUGUGUGCCCCUGGGGACUCUUUCUUAUCUUAUAGUGACACUAGUUCUAUUGGAUUGAAGUGUACCCAUACGACCUCAUUUAAACUUAAUUACAUAUUGUAAGGCCCUAACUUCAAAUACAGUCACAUCCUGAGGUACUGUGUAUUAGGGCUUCAACAUAUAAAUUUUGGGGCAAUCCAGUUCAGCCCAUAAAAUCCCUUUUUGGUUGCUUGAUUCUGUUUAUUUGGUGUCAUGCCUUCCUUUUCCUAAAGAACUUCAUGAAUAGAAUUACUUUCUAAGUGAAAGGAACAAAACUGAUUUUUAUUAAAAAUUAUUUUGAGAUGCUUGUGACAAAUUUUGAAGUAAGUGAAGAUUUUCCUGGAGCUUCUACAAAAUCCUGGCUGAGAAUCCCUGCUUUCUGGACAGUUGAGAAGGAAAUACACUUAGUACAGCUGUUAGAGAGAUAUAGUUGCAACCACUGAGUGCUUAUUAUCUGCCAACUUAAAUAUAUUGCCCAAGGGAAUAACAAAUAUUCUAGUGUUCUUGUUAAGUAUAUUGUCUAAGGUCACACAGCUCUUAAACAACAGCUUCAGGAUUUGAACCUGGAAUCUAUCUGACUCCUAAGUCCAGAUGCUGUUCACCACAUUAGGUUGAAGCAUGGCCAGUGUUCAUAACAUACAACUAUGUCUCCAUAUCUUUUGCUAACCAAUGUUCUUGUAUGUGCAUACCUUACAGGGCAGCCAUUCACCACAAGCCCUACUAGAUGGCUUCCUGUAAUAAGGGUAGAACAGUAGUACUCUCCUUUUGAGAAGUUAUUUGUAAUUUUGUUGGUGGGCUGACAUUUAGGCCCUGCUCUCCAGCCCCAGAGGGGAUCCCAUAACCUAGAUCAGGCCAAUGAUGAUUAUCUCCGUGACUGUAGUGGCUGGUCCAGCGGGGAGGGUCAGGCAGGUAAGCUGGCCCAACCUGAGUCCUUCUUGAGGAUUUUAGAAACUGAAGGUAGGAGAGAAAAAUUCUCUCUUUUCUUCUGGGGAACGGGAUGAAGGUGGUGGGUAGGCAGAGCUGUUGGGAUGUGGAUCCAGGGAUUCUGGAAGUCCUGUCCUCCACCAUGUAAAGAAUACAUCCUGCAGAAGGAGAGAAGGGAGCCAGCACACAGAGAAGCAGAGUCAGGAGAUGGAGAAGGAGAAUCCUGAGAGCCUGAAGGUCCCUGGGUCCAGCCAUUGUCAAGGCCGAGUUCUACCGUCCUUAAGUUGUUUACCUUUCUUUCUUGCUUGCUUCUGUUAGAAGAUGAACACUCAAUGAAAAAUCACCAAACAUCUGAGGAAAGCCAUCAAAAUGAAAUAAACGAAACACACAAGUUCCUAAACACAAGUGAACAGCGUGGGCUGGGUUUUUGUCGCUUGGAACUGGAAACGCUGACGAUAAUGCUGACCUCUGAGCAGACCCACGUGAGGGGCAGCUGUGGUGUGGUGUGAUGAUGCUGGGAUAGGCACUCAGAUGGUUGAGUCUGAGUUUGGCUCUGAUAUUAUAUCAACUGCAUGGGCAGCUGUGGUGUGGUGUGAUGAUGCUGGGAUAGGCACUCAGAUGGUUGAGUCUGAGUUUGGCUCUGAUAUUAUAUCAACUGCAUGGGCAGCUGUGGUGUGGUGUGAUGAUGCUGGGAUAGGCACUCAGAUGGUUGAGUCUGAGUUUGGCUCUGAUAUUAUAUCAACUGCAUGGGCAGCUGUGGUGUGGUGUGAUGAUGCUGGGAUAGGCACUCAGAUGGUUGAGUCUGAGUUUGGCUCUGAUAUUAUAUCAACCGCAUCAUUUUGGGGAAGACACAAUUUCUCAGAAUUUUAUUUAGUUGUAAAAUAAAGAUAAUGAUAUUACAUGCUCUGUCUACCAUCUAGAGUUUUUGUCAAGACAAAC